rnacentral:tRNA from 1 species
GUGGGUGUAGCUCAAUGGCAGAGCACCGGCCUUCCAAGCCGGGGACGCGGGUUCGAUACCCGUCGCCCGCUCCA